UGAGUCACAUCCCCUGUUUAUCUCCUGCUGGUCCUCGUCACAGCCUGAAGCAUUCUUCUCUAUGGGUUUGAUUACUUAUUGUCCAUCUCACCGCCCUCCCAGGAAGCACAACCUCGCCUCCAGAUCUCAGCCCGUGACCUGGCACUCAGAGGGCACUGAAGUUUGUUGACUGAUUGAAUGGACUGAGACAAUGAGGCUGUAAAAGAUGAAACAAUUAGACUCGAUUCAUCUGACAAGGAAGUAAAGCAGCUGACAUUCACGAAACCCUUGGUGGAUGCUGGCCACAGGAGGCCUGUAGGGGACAGUUCUGCCCUGAAGCAUCUCUCUCCAAGUGGCUGUCCCUGAGUCCCUCUGAUGUGUCCCCAUGGUGAUGAAGAGCAUGAGAGAUGGGACUGGAAAACGAAAUGAACCAGUCUUCAUGCUUGAUCAGCCAGAGGAUCUUCAGCCCCACCCCUUGUCUCCACCUUCCGAACCCAGGAAAAGUCCACUGGUGAGAAUCUGAUCGUAGACUUGCAAGGCCUGGGUGGAGGCCCAGCCCUGCCCCCUCCCAGCAGGGUGACUGUGGCAAAAUCUCUUAACCAGUCUAGGCUUCAGCUUCUCCAUCUGCACUCUGGGGAUGAUGAUAAGACACAACUCACAGCGCUGUCCUGAGACUUAAAGGAGUGGGUAAUUCAAGCUCUUAGUGCAGUGCCCGGCCCCAAGAUAAACUACACCAAAAGUUCCUCUGAGGGGCUGCUGACACUGACUGCCCUUUGAGCAUCCCCUGUGAUGAUGAUACUAAAACAGGGACUAGGAGUUACUUGUCAACAGUGUGUAAGCUGGACUUGCAUUUGUGUUUAUUUACAUGUCAGUUAACAAGCCUGAGAGAAAAGGACUUGUCUUGCCUCAUGGGCACAGGUUCAGAAAUCUCACAUGGAUUGUGGAAAUAAAGUUU